GAUGAACGCUAGCGGCAGGCUUAAUACAUGCAAGUCGAGGGGCAGCACGAAUAGCAAUAUUUGGUGGCGACCGGCAAACGGGUGCGGAACACGUACGCAACCUUCCUUUAAGUGGAGAAUAGCCCGGGGAAACCCGGAUUAAUACUCCGUAACAUUAUAAAGUGGCAUCACUUAGUAAUUAUAGAUUUAUCGCUUAAAGAUGGGCGUGCGCCUGAUUAGGUAGUUGGCGGAGUAAAGCCCACCAAGCCUGCGAUCAGUAACUGGUGUGAGAGCACGACCAGUCACACGGGCACUG
rnacentral:rRNA from 1 species